AUCCAUAUAGCUCAGUUGGUAGAGCAUGAGACUCUUAAUUUCAAGGUUGUGGGUUCAAGUCCCACGUUGGGCA